GACGAACGCUGGCGGCGUGCUUAACACAUGCAAGUCGAACGGUGAAGGGGUCUGCUUUUGUGGGCCCUGGGUGAGUGGCGAACGGGUGAGUCACACGUGAGUAACCUGCCCCCUUCUUCUGGAUAACCGCAUGAAAGUGUGGCUAAUACGGGAUAUUCUGGGUCUGUCGCAUGAUGGGUCUGGGAAAGAUUGCGCCUUUGGGUGUUUUUGGUGGUGGAUGGGCUCGCGGCCUAUCAGCUUGGUGGUGGGGUGAUGGCCUACCAAGGCGGUGACGGGUAGCCGGCCUGAGAGGGUGGACGGUGACAGUGGGACUGAGACACGGCCCAGAGUCCUACGGGAGGCAGCAGUGGGGAAUAUUGCACAAUGGGCGCAAGCCUGAUGCAGCGACGCCGCGUGAGGGAUGGAGGCCUUCGGGUUGUAAACCUCUUUGGCCAGUGAAGCAGGCCUGCUCCUUGUGGGUGGGUUGACGGUAGCUGGAUAAGAAGCGCCGGCUAACUACGUG
rnacentral:rRNA from 1 species